UACGGGGGGAGCAAGCGUUGUUCGGAUUUACUGGGCGUAAAGGGCGCGUAGGCGGCCACCGCAAGUCAGUUGUGAAAUCUCUGGGCUUAACCUGGGAACUGCAUUCGAGACUGCAUCGCUAGAGUAUCGGAGAGGGAAGUGGAAUUUCAGGUGUAGCGGUGAAAUGCGUAGAUAUCUGAAGGAACAUCAGUGGCGAAAGCGACUUCCUGGACGAAUACUGACGCUCAUGUGCGAAAGCGUGGGGAGCAAACAGG
rnacentral:rRNA from 1 species